AACGAACGCUGGCGGCAUGCCUAACACAUGCAAGUCGAACGAACCCUUCGGGGUUAGUGGCGCACGGGUGCGUAACGCGUGGGAAUCUGCCCUUUGCUUCGGAAUAACUCAGGGAAACUUGUGCUAAUACCGGAUGAUUUCUUCGGACCAAAGAUUUAUCGGCAAGGGAUGAGCCCGCGUAGGAUUAGGUAGUUGGUGGGGUAAAGGCCUACCAAGCCGACGAUCCUUAGCUGGUCUGAGAGGAUGAUCAGCCACACUGGGACUGAGACACGGCCCAGACUCCUACGGGAGGCAGCAGUGGGGAAUAUUGGACAAUGGGCGCAAGCCUGAUCCAGCAAUGCCGCGUGAGUGAUGAAGGCCCUCGGGUCGUAAAGCUCUUUUACAAGGGAUGAUAAUGACAGUACCUGGAGAAUAAGCUCCGGCUAACUCCGUG
rnacentral:rRNA from 1 species